GCAUUUUGAUUCUUUAGGAAAUCCUCUUUGUGCACAUGCAGAAUUUUGGUGAAAUUAGGGGAGGUAAAUGUAACAGGUGUUAUAUAAAUUUAUUAAUUUCACACAAAAUCCCUCCCUUUGUUAUUAUCAAUUAUUUUAUAUUUAUAUAAUUAUUUUUAUAUUCUGGGAAUUUUUCUUUCAUCUGGAAUGUUAUUUGAGCUGUUUCUAUCCUUGUAUGUAAAUUUUUCAGUGUUAUUUUGUAAUUGUUAAAAUAUAGUACGUGGCCCCUUUAAGAGUUAGGUUCCGGUUGUUUUCCUUCAGUUCGCGGUAAGCGCAGCUGGGGAAAGGUCAAUGUUGAAAUUGUGGAGAAAGGCCACGGAUUGACACUUUUUUUCAUAAAUUUUCCUUUUUAUUCAUUCAGGUAUGUUCUCUAUCCAUGUUUCUGUUAAUAUUGUUGUUUUGAAUUCAUGUGAAAUGUUUUACAUUGAGAAAAAUGUUAAAUAUUGUUGAUUUAAUCAUAUGCAGUUCAUUUAAUAAUUGUAAUAUGAUGGCAGUUUGCGGUAAGCGCAGCUGGGGAAAGGUCAAUGUUGAAAUUGUGGAGAAAGGCCACGGAUUGACACAUUUUCAUAAAUUUUCCUUUUUAUUCAUUCAGAAUAAAAAAAGUGGCCCAAAGAAUCUCUUGUUGUCCGGUCUGGUUAAAAUAUCAACACAACGCAGAGAGAAGAUAAAGACCGGUCACACAAG